rnacentral:lncRNA from 1 species
UCUCUUCCAACACCUUUUUCCAGAGUUUAUUAAUUGGAAACUGUUUACUAUAACGUUUAGUAUUUCACUUUUAGAUGUGUAUAAAAGGUUAUAAUCCUAAUAUUACCAGAAACAAUUUACACAACCGUUUGUUUGUAACAUUGCAUUAUAUGAUGAUGACAUCUUUUUCAAUUGUUGCAAAGGAAACAGAAGCUGAGAGCACAAAGGUGCCAAAUUGGCUUGAACUUCCAAGAGACAUCACAGCGAACAUCCUUUUGAGGCUUGAUACCAUUGACAUUGUGAAAACUGUUUGCCUAGUUUGUCCUCUGUGGUGGAACAUUUUCAAGGAUCCUUUCAUGUGGCACUCCAUUCACAUGACCAAUUUCAUGCGGCACUCCAUUCACAUGACCAAUUUCAUGCGUUCAUCCAGAAUUUUUCAUUCGGUGAUGGUGAAGAUUUGCCGUUAUGCUGUUGAACGAAGCCGUGGUCAUCUGUUAGACAUUGAUAUUAAGUAUUUUGGCUCGGAUGAUCUCCUUCAAUGCAUAGCUGAAAAGUAUUAUUACUGAUAUCAAAAUCAAUUUCUUGCAUUCAACUGUUAAUAUUUUUACUAUUUCCUUAUAAUUAUGUUUUUAUUUCAAAUUUUACAGUGGAAGUAACCUACGAAGCAUGCAGCUUGUAUCUUGCAAUUUUAUUUCAGAUAAAGGAUUUAGUGAAGCGGUAAGAAAAUUUCCGCGGCUAGAGGAGUUGGAUAUUUCACUAUGCAACGGCUUAUCAGAUGCUUCUCUUGAAGUCAUUGGCAUAUCUUGCCCUCUUUUAAAAUCUUUCAAAUAUAAUAGAGAUCGGGGUUCAACUAUUUGGGGACGGGGUGGUCUUGAUUAUGACGCUUUUAUUAUUUCAGAAACAAUGUCUAGACUUUACCGUCUUGAGAUUAAACGAAACACACUCACUGAUGUUGGACUUCUUGCCAUUCUUGACAAAUGUCCACUUCUUGAGUUUCUUGACAUUCGAGGUUGUUUUAAUCUCAUCAGUUUGAGUGAAAGUUUAAGGAAAAGAUGCAUUGAGCAAAUUAAGGAUUUAAGACUUCCAAGUUCCAUGUAUGAAUAACUUAUGUGUAUCAAAACUUCGAUUAUUAUGAUUGUAUUAAUCCUUAUGAUUGACUUUGAUUUGGAACUAUGCCUGCGAUGAUGUAAAAUGAGGCUAUGAAUAUAUGAUAUAUAUGAUCCUUAAGCUUAAGUUUUUUCUUAUAUUGGAAUUUUUUUGAAGGCACUGAAUAGCUUAAACUUGAUUUUCAUUGAUUAAAUCUUGUCAUUUGUCAUUUCUUACAUCAUGGAUUGUCUAUGUUUUUACUCGUACGAAAUAAUUAGCUAAACAGGUCAGAGUUAAUAAAUACUCCCUCCGUCCCGGAAUAUAAGCAAAAAAAAGUUUUCACACUUAUUGAUAAACUCUAAAUUUUAUUAAAACAAACAAUUGAGUUUCCCGUAUUACCCUUGUUAUUACUUCUUGUUAAUGGAAAAAAUUAGCUUUUUGAAUGAUGAAAGCUAAAAAGUCAUAUUGAAAGAAGCUAACCACCCAAAAGUUUAUUGGGAAACUAAACAAUAGUGAAUUAUGACUAAGGGUAAUUUUGUAACUUUAGUAUUAAAAAAGGAGGAGUGCUAGCAACACACUCUUUAACAAACACACUCUAACACACUCUCUUCUAUUGGUUAAAAUUUAUAUGGGUCCCAUAAAAGUUAUAUGGGUUCACAUUUUUUUAUGGGACCCAUGUGAAUUUCAACAAAUAAAAGAGAGUGUGUUGGAGUGUGUUUGUUAAAGAGUGUGUUGCUAGCAUUAUUCUUAAAAAAGUUGUUUUUUGCUUAUAUUUUAGGACAUCAAAAAGAGGUUUUUUUUGCUUAUAUUACGGGACGGAGGGAGUAUAUGUACAAGAAAUAUUGUCUACUUCUAUCAAGAUUUAAACGAUUGAGAUGACUUGUCUAUUAAGAACAUGUUAUAAGUAUCAAAUUUUAAUCUGCAUUUGAUCUGUUAUUUCAUAACUUUCUUUUGUGAGCAAGUUCAUACCAAGGAUUGAGUAAAAUUUUCAAAUGGAUCUUAUAUUAUGGGACGGAGGUAAUAUUUGCUUCUACUAUUUACAUACAGGACAUACAGCAUCCUUUAAAGCUGCCUGUUGCGCUAACAAGUAUUCAUCUAAAGAGGGUUAUCAUAUUAUUUUGGAUAAUUAGGUCAAUCUAAAGAGCAAAUAACUAUGGCCUCUCAUAUAUAGAUCAUAUCAUAUUGUUGUAUUUUCUGUCCAACAUGAUAUUAUUAGUAGAACUUAUAAUAUAUAGUACCUACUACCUACCAAUAAGUACUAAUAUCCUCUUACAUGAAUAGUUGAGAGUUGCAGCUAUAGUUACACAUUGAUAAAGCAUUUCAACUUAUUAUCUUGUGCUAUUCUCUACAUGAAUCAAAUUCCAACGAAUUAAUUCAAAUUUGGAUUAGCUGAAGCAUUGGUGGUGGUUGUAAUUCCAAAGAUUGAGUAAAAUUUUCAAAGGCUGAAGCAUUGGUAGUGGUUUUAAUUUAUACUAUUUGUUAUGUCUUGAAUCAAGAGACGCCUAUUUACAAGCUCAGGCUGAAGCAAAGUCUUGUUUGGAGAGGGACUGUCAAACCUUUCAUUGUAUCAUGUUUUUCCUUUUCUUGAAUAUGUACCAGGACAUAGCAGUGAGGCAUUCCGUGGCCUUUUAUUAAACAUUAAAAAACCUAUUCUCUUGCACUUGCAGCUAGUAAAGAAUGUAGUGUAUUUCACGUAGUGAACUAAGUGAGGAAGUGUAUGCUGAUCAACCUAUGCGAUAUCAGAAAGGGAGAAGCAAACAAAGUGUAUAGAUUAAAAAAGGUUCUAUAUAUGGUCUUAGACAACCACCAAGAUGGUAUAACAAAAUAUUGAGUCUUAUGUCUGUUAUGAAGGAUUUGAAAAGUAUCCUCAUGAACACUUUGUUUGUAAAGCAUGGUAAAGAAGGAAUUAUAAUAGUUAGCUUAUAUGUGGAUGAUCUUAUCUUUACGAGAAAUGAUCAAGCUAUGUUUGAUGCUUUAAAACAUUAUGAAAAAGAAAUUUAUUAGGUGUUGAAGUAAAGCAAUAUAGCAGUGGAAUUUUCAUCGAUAAAAAAUAGGCUUAAAUAUGAAAAAGGUCCCUGCAUACGGCUUGUUUUGAUUUUAGCCCCUGCAAAAUAAAAAGUUUGAUUUUAGUCCCUGCAAAAUACCAAAACUUUUAAAAAGGUCCUUGAGGUGAAUUUUUGUCUGACAUGUCAAGUAAUUGAUGAUUUGGCAAAUGCUGACUAGGAUUUUUGACAACGUAGAAUUAACAUGUCAUUUUCAUUUAAAAAUAGAAAAACAGAAAAAUAUUUUAUGAAAAAAAAAUUGAAAAUAGAAAUAGAAACUU